ensembl:lncRNA
GCUGUUGAGACUUUGGCUGAGUUCGAUGUCUUUCGACGGAUACAGCUGCUAAAGUGAUCUGGGCUGCAGCAGAUGUGUUGAUUUGUACUGGGCGCGACGAGCUGUAUGUCUUCAACACACAAGAACUGAAACUGACGUUCCUUAGUCCAGUGGAUCAUUUGGUGCGGAGUGAGGACAAGCAGUGUGUCUGUGCUGUCUGUGAGAGUGAUGGGGUGUACUGUGUCGAUCUACCAACUCUGCACCCCAGGUCUCCCACUCCCCCAGCUGACCAGUCCCCUGGCCCUGCUCUAUUCAAAAUGUUGUCUAAUUCGCUGGCAGCCAGAGACAAGGGUGUGUGUUCUCUGAUUGAGGUGGAGGGUUUGUCUCCCUGCGAGAUGCAGGCUGGGGGUUCACUUUCUAUAACGCUGCUGACCAACGGAAACUGACUGGAGUUUAGUCUACCUGUCAUUACUGUUGUCUACCAUGAUGACUCAGAAGAAAAUGACAGCGCAGGAGUGGUCAUGCAACCUGUGUUGGCUUGCGUUUACACCAACAUCUUCAACAACAACAACCACCAUUUUCAUCAUUAUCAUCCUCACCUGGCGUUGGCCAUUUUCUCCUGGAGCCUCUCCUCUUCAAGCUCCUCUUCGGUGUCGAAGCUGCCCUCAUCAACUCCCC